AUUGAACGCUGGCGGCAGGCCUAACACAUGCAAGUCGAGCGAGCGGCGGACGGGUGAGUAAUGUCUGGGAAACUGCCUGCUGGAGGGGGAUAACUACUGGAAACGGUAGCUAAUACCGCAUACCAUCAGAUGUGCCCCGAUGGGAUUAGCUAGUGGGUGGGUUACCGGCUCACCUAGGCGACGAUCCCUAGCUGGUCUGCGAGGAUGACCAGCAACACUGGAAUGGAGACACGGUCAAGCCUCCUACGGGAGGCAGCAGGGGGGAAUAUUGCACAAUGGGGGCAAGCCUGAUGCAGCAAGGCGGGGUGUGUGAAGAAGGCCUUCGGGUUGUAAAGCACUUUCAGCGGGGAGGCGUUACCCGCAGAAGAAGCACCGGCUAACUCCGUGCCAGCAGCCGCGGUAAUAC
rnacentral:rRNA from 1 species